rnacentral:tRNA from 1 species
GGAUUGUGGCUCAGCGAUAGAGCGCUCCCCUAGUAAGGGCAGGACCCGGGUUUGAUUCUCAGCACCA